GACGAACGCUGGCGGCGUGCUUAACACAUGCAAGUCGAACGGAAAGGCCCUGCUUGCAGGGUACUCGAGUGGCGAACGGGUGAGUAACACGUGGGUGAUCUGCCCUGCACUUCGGGAUAAGCUUGGGAAACUGGGUCUAAUACCGGAUAGGAGCCAUCUUUCGUGUGGUGGUUGGAAAGUUUUUUCGGUGUAGGAUGAGCUCGCGGCCUAUCAGCUUGUUGGUGGGGUAAUGGCCUACCAAGGCGGCGACGGGUAGCCGGCCUGAGAGGGUGUACGGCCACAUUGGGACUGAGAUACGGCCCAGACUCCUACGGGAGGCAGCAGUGGGGAAUAUUGCACAAUGGGCGCAAGGCUGAUGCAGCGACGCCGCGUGGGGGAUGAAGGCCUUCGGGUUGUAAACUCCUUUCGCUAGGGACGAAGCUUUGUUGUGACGGUACCUAGAGAAGAAGCACCGGCUAACUACGUG
rnacentral:rRNA from 1 species